rnacentral:rRNA from 1 species
UCGGGAAUUUUGGGCAAUGGGCGAAAGCCUGACCCAGCAACGCCGCGUGAAGGAUGAAGUAUUUCGGUAUGUAAACUUCGAAAGAAUAGGAAGAAUAAAUGACGGUACUAUUUAUAAGGUCCGGCUAACUACGUGCCAGCAGCCGCGGUAAUACGUAGGGACCAAGCGUUGUUCGGAUUUACUGGGCGUAAGGGGCGCGUAGGCGGCAAUUCAAGUCAUCUGUGAAAUCUCCGGGCUUAACUCGGAACGGUCAGAUGAUACUGCUUUGCUAGAGUGCAGAAGGGGCAAUCGGAAUUCUUGGUGUAGCGGUGAAAUGCGUAGAUAUCAAGAGGAACACCUGAGGUGAAGACGGGUUGCUGGGCUGACACUGACGCUGAGGCGCGAAAGCCAGGGGGAGCAAACGGGAUUAGAUACCCCCGUAGUCCCUGAGCGGGCUGGCAAGGCGCAU